GCAGCCGCACUCCCAGAUCUGAUGAAAGCGCUCCCUCCCUCCCUGCUGCCGGGGGGACAGGCGCACUCACACAGCAGCCUCCCAGCUCGGAGCAGCCUCAGCCCCAGAGACGCAGCGUUACCCCGGCGGGACCGGCCUUGCCCUUUUGUUCGAGUCGGCGCGGAGGGAGCGGGUUCCGUUGGGUCGGGGGAGGCGGAGCUGUGGGGCCAUCGGGGGGAGCCAUGGAGGAUUCCCGGGCACACUAGCCUCUCUCCCCGGGCUGGGAACAAGCCGGGCGGCCGUGCCUUUUCUCCCGCUGCCGCCAUUUUCCCGUUCGGUUUAGCGGCGCCUGAGUAAUGGCCGUGCCGCAGCCCCGCCGCUGGGAGCCCCUAGCAGCCGCCGAGCGCUGGAUGUGAAGCUGCGGGAAUAUGGUUUCAGACACUUACUCUCUCCCCCGCUGGAGUGUGGAAUACUAGAAGGUCACAUUAUUUAUAUACUGUUACACUCGGAGACGGUCUCGCAGCCCGCACCAUAGACACACAUUGUAGAGCAGUCAGUGGGCGGUCAGUCUGUCAUGGAGCAAAGAGAAAACUUGGGCACCAACCGGACAAGGGGUUGCGACAGCGAAUCGAACGCGUCGGCCCUGGCAGGGAAAGCGCCCCCAGCGGCCGGCUGUUCCGGAGAUACCAUGGUCCCUGCCGGCGGGGCGGCCAAGGCCGGGCUCGGGAACGGGGAAUCUAUGGAGCCGGAGGAAGAGGACGAACUGGGUUCCGGGAGGGAUGUGGAUUCCAACUCCAACGCCGACAGCGAGAAGUGGGUGACGGGAGAUGGUUUGGAGGAGCAGGAGUUUUCCAUCAAGGAGGCCAAUUUUACGGAAGGGAGCCUGAAAUUAAAGAUACAGACCACCAAGAGGGCCAAGAAACCGCCCAAGAACCUGGAGAACUAUAUCUGCCCCCCCGAGAUUAAAAUCACCAUAAAGCAAUCGGGGGAGCAAAAACUCUCUAAGUCUGGGAGGAACGGCAAAGCGGCCAAGGAGGACGAGCGCGCCCACGCGAGAAAGAAGGCCAAUGUCGUGUGGGAAAAAUUCCCUCUGCAAUCAAAUCACCAGAGAAAAUUGCCCGGGGCCGUGCCAGCGGGAAAAGUCUCCCAAGUGCAUGAGAAAUCGCAGAAGCAUUCUACUGUUCAUUUCGACUCCAGCACCCCUUCGGAUAUCACCAACGACUCCUUAAAACCAAAGCACCAGCAGAAAAGUAACCAGCACCAUCUCGACUGGUUGGCAAAGUCAGACUCUGGGCCUACAACGCAGAGUAGUGUUGCUGAUGUUGAGUCUUGCAAGGAAGCAUCCAGUGUCGCCAAGGCUACAAGUGCAGAAGCCGCCACACCAUUUAAAACUCAGUCCAAGAAAUCGAACGUGGGUAGCACUUGGAAUCAAUUAUCCAAUGCAAAAGAAACUGCGAAUGGUAGUACAAUGCCGGCAGCUGCUAAUAUCGGCACUGGGUCUUCAUCCAGCAAUUCUGCUGAUAGUAACGGGGUCCUGCCCUCGGAGGACCAAAAAAGUGGCCUUGCCGAGGCUCCUGAGCAAUCUGGGAAUGCAAAGAAGAAAGUUGGGAAGAAAGACUCAACUCAAACCAUGCAGGUUAAGGAGAGCGAGUGGGGCAAAAAUAACUCAAAAGCCGUUGAUCCCAAAAGUCACGACACAACAGAAAGCAAAAAGGAUCCCAACCCUACAGAUAAUAAAUUACCAGCACCACCGCAGCGACAGGAUGUAUCUUCUGGAAAUAGUUGUGAAAGUGACUCAAGCCACGUCAGAAUAACUAUUCCAAUAAAAACCACCACCACCGCCACCGAUGCAUCUGCCAACAAAAGGAAAAAGAAACCGUAUAUUAAACCUACCAUGGAUAAAAAGGUGCAGGAGGAUCAGUCUUUAGGGAGAAUGCUCGUCAACGAAGUCAGCAACCAAAUGCUUGGUCAGUUCCUGGCAAACAAGAAGGACAGCAAGGUUCUGAAACAGGGUAAAAUUUUUGGUACUGAACUUCUGUCGAAAUUACCCGAGAGUAACGGAGGAGGAGGGAAAUCUUUAUUGAGCAGCAUGGCUUGUCUCCAGAAGAUGACCACUCCACUGCCACCUUCAAAAGCUAUUGCCGAGAUGGUAAAAUCAAAGACACCGGAAUUGCAGCAUCCAAAACUGGCGUCGAAGAAACGAUGGGCAAACGUCAAGCCAAAAACCAAUAACAAUGACAACUCUGCCUCGCCGAUGGAAAAGAUUGUGGUCGAACCUCCCUCCGCCUACCCGAUAACGCCAUCCAGUCCACUCUACACCAAUACAGAUAGCCUUACCGUAAUUACACCAACAAAGAAAAAGAGGGGACGGCCAAAGAAACAACCCUUGCUCACUGUAGAAACUAUCCACGAGGGCACCUCGACCAGCCCAGUAAGCCCACUCAACAGAGAGUUUCCCGGUAUCAAGAAGCGAAAAGGGAGGCACAAUCUCUCGGAAUUGGUCCAAAUCAAUCCAUCCAUGGAAAAAUCCAUCAGCGAAUUAGAAUUUAACAAAAAAGUGGGUAAACUGGGAAUGCUAGAUAAGAAAACCAUAAAAACCAUCAAUAAGAUGAAAACUCUCAAAAGGAAGAAUAUCUUAAACCAAAUUCUGUCUUGCUCGAACAGCAUGGCGUUGAAAUCGAAAGCCCAGCCCCAGACAAACGCAAUAGCAACUGUAGCCACAACUUUAGAUGCUAGGUUAGGCAAGCAGAUCAACGUUAGCAAGAGGGGAACCAUCUACAUCGGCAAGAAAAGGGGACGAAAACCCAGAACCGAGCAGAUACCCCUACAGAAUGAACGUCGAACAGCCAUUAAACAUUUAAGGCCUGUUUCCAGCCAGCCUGAAAACCCAGCGGUGCCUUCAAACUUGCAGUCACUUGCCGCGUCUUCACCAGCAGCUAUUCACUCGAUCACGACACAGCUCAUAGGUUCAAACGGUAAUCUCAGUCCUGCCAACACCGACACAAUAUUUUCCGAUUUAAAAACUAUGCCAAAUCUUCAGCCAAUCAGUGCUCUUCCAACAAAAAUCCAGAAAGGAAUACAUGGCAGUUCAUGGAAGUUGUCUCCACCAAGAUUAAUGGCUCUGUCUCCGUCUCAUUUGUGUGAGAUAAGCUCCCUAAAAGAGGUCACGCUGUCGCCAAUAAGCGAGUCACAUAGCGAAGAGACCAUACCGAGUGACAGCGGAAUUGGUACAGAUAAUAAUAGCACUUCGGAUCAAGCGGAGAAAAGCUCGGAAUCCCGCAGAAGGUACUCUUUUGACUUCUGCUCUCUGGACAAUCCUGAAGUUACGCCGUCGGACACCAGCACAAAGGGCAAACAUGGCCACCGACCGAAACAUCUCAUCGUCGACAACUUUCUAGUCCACGAAAGUAGUAAAAAGCCAAAGCACAAGAGGAAGAGGAAAAGCCUGCAGAACAGGGACAACCUGCAGUUUCUCGCAGACCUCGAGGACCUCAUCAAUAAAUUUCAAGUCUUCAGAAUUUCCCACAGGAGCUAUACGUUCUACCACGAAAAUCCUUAUCCGAGCAUAUUCAGGAUUAAUUUUGAUCAUUAUUACCCAGUGCCAUAUAUACAGUACGACCCACUGCUUUACCUUCGCAGGACCUCUGACAUGAAAUCGAAGAAAAAGCGUGGUAGACCUGCCAAAACCAAUGACACCAUGACGAAGGUGCCUUUUUUGCAAGGGUUUGGAUACCCUAUUCCCAGCGGAAGUUACUAUGCACCAUAUGGAAUGCCUUACACAUCAAUGCCUAUGAUGAACCUUGGUUAUUAUGGUCAGUAUCCAGCUCCGUUGUAUCUGUCCCACACGCUUGGGGCAACUUCUCCGUUCAUGAGGCCCUCGGUACCACCACCUCAGUUCCACACAAGCUCUCAUAUGAAGAUGCCUACUGCUACCAAGCAUAAAACAAAACACGGCAUACAUCUUCAGUCCUCGGUAGGAAUGGGGCUAGGAGACAUGCAGUCGUCUUUGGCUACUUCCAAAACGUCCGGCGUCGGCCUUUCAAGUAGCCGACUCCACAAAAGGAAACACAAACAUAAGCACAAACAUAAGGAUGAUCGUAUUCUAGGGACACACAGCGAGUUCGGCAGCCUUUUUUCGGGCAAGUCCGCCAGCUUCUCAAGUCACGUAGCAAACGAAAAGCUCAACCCGUCUGGCAAAGACCUCUCCUCGCUCAACGAGAAAAGCAAGCAUAAGGAUAAGCAGAAGCACCAGCAUUGCGAAACUGGACAAAGGGGCUCAAAGAGUAGUUUUGAGGUCGAUACCCUUUCGUCGUUGUCGCUUUCUGACGCUCAGCAUUGGCCGUCGUCUAAAGAGAAAACGGACCUGAACGGGGAAUCUGUCGAGAGCUGUUUAAAAAAAUAUGCUGGAAGUAAUGACUGCAACGCCAGGGCAGACUCCUCCGACCUGUUUGUGGAAAUGAGUUCAGCAAAUGAGAAAAGGGACGGCGAUAUAAGCGGUAAAAGGAGGAGCUUCGAAGGUUUUGGCUCUUAUAGAGAGAGAGACAUUCAGUCGUUCAGGAUCAACAGGAAGGACAGAAACGCUUUCGAUGCUGCAGUACCAGGUCUAGCAAAUACUCACCUUAAAGUGGAUCAGAUGUCUCAGCAUAGUAAAAGCGAUAUCAAUUCUUCCAACAAUAUGACCAAAAGGAAGCCAGCAGCUGAAUCUGUGGCCAUGUUGCCGAGUCCAGUGUUGUCGUUUUUUUCUUCAUCCUCAGAAUCAGCCAGUGCUUCGCUCCGAAAAAGAUUCAAGCGUUGCGAGAUCGAGGCGAUCCAGAGCGAGGUGCGGAAGAUGUGCAACUACAAUAAAAUCCUGUCCACCAAAAAAAACAUGGAUCACGUCAACAAAAUUCUUAAGGCCAAGAGAUUACAAAGACAAUCAAAGACUGGCAAUAACUUUGUGAAGAAGAAGAGGGGGCGCCCCAGGAAGCAUCCCCUCUUGUUCGACGAGGACUCUAGAGACCAAAUGCCAGUUCUGGAGAAAUGCGUUGACCUUCCAAGCAAACGAGGCCAAAAGCCUUCUUUGCACCCUCUGGACUUGGAAGCCAGCCGCCAAGACUUGGUCAUGGAUACUAUUGAAGCGGUAAUACACAUGGCCAGGGAAGGCCAAUCGUCACGCAUACCGAGAAAUGGAAAGAGGAAAACCAGCGAGGAGGAGGAGAUCAAAGCAAAAAGACACAGAAAGGGCAGAAGAGGAGAGUCUGACUCCACCUGUUAGGAUCACUAUAAACUGAGAUUUAGUAGACGUAGCAGGUCGGAACCAAUGAGGCUAAAGGGUACCGAUACUCAUACCAGUGGGGUAUUUAGACUUGGCUUGACUGUCAGCUUUGUAAUACAGUUGAUAUAUGAAUCUCUCUCGGCACUAGGCUUUCAGAUUAGUAAGCUCACCGUAUAUCACAUGUAACUGCAGUUUUAUCAAUAGUCACAAUGGAUAUUCAGCAAUGUAUUUUCUUGCUUCAAGCUAGGACGUACCAUUUUAAUUUUGCAUUAAAAGACCACCCAGCAGAGGUUAGCUGUGUACUCCCCGGGGGGAAGGGAAAGGCUACUCUGGACCCUACACUUUCUGGGGCCCUAGAAGGUAUGCAAGGGGUUGUAACGAUUGUUUAUUGUACCCCCACAGAUUCAUAUGCUAAAUAAUGGUGGCUCCAACAUUGAUCAUUUUGCCCUGGGCUCCACCACCACUAAGGACAACCCUAAAAUUAGCAGAAUGAAUGCUCAGCAGAGUGUUUGGUUUAGUCUCUAACCAUUGAGAUCAUGAAUAGCUGAUACAGUGAUGAGAACCAAGGAACAUAACCAGUAGAACCAGGACAACCCUAAAAUUAGCAGAAUGAAUGCUCAGCAGAGUGUUCGGUUUAGUCUCUAACCCCUGAGAUCAUGACUAGCUGAUACAGUGAUGAGAACCAAGGAACAUAACCAAUAGAACAUGGACAACCUUAAAAUUAGUAGAAUUAAUGCUCAGCAGAGUGUUUGGUUUAGUCUCGAACUCUUGAGAUCAUGACUAGCUGAUACAGUGAUGAGAACCAAGGAACAUAACCAGUAGAACAAGGCCAAACCUAAAAUUAGCAGAAUGAUUGCUCAGCAGAGUGUUUGGUUUAGUCUCGAACUCUUGAGAUCAUAACUAGCUGAUACAGUGAUGAGAACCAAGGAACAUAACCAGUAGAACAAGGCCAACCCUAAAAUUAGCAGAAUGAAUGCUCAGCUGAGUGUUUGGUUUAGUCUCGAACUCUUGAGAUCAUGACUAGCUGAUACAGUGAUGAGAACCAAGGAACAUAACCAGUAGAACAAGGCCAAACCUAAAAUUAGCAGAAUGAUUGCUCAGCAGAGUGUUUGGUUUAGUCUCGAACUCUUGAGAUCAUAACUAGCUGAUACAGUGAUGAGAACCAAGGAACAUAACCAGUAGAACAAGGCCAACCCUAAAAUUAGCAGAAUGAUUGCUCAGCAGAGUGUUUGGUUUAGUCUCGAACUCUUGAGAUCAUGACUAGCUGAUACAGUGAUGAGAACCAAGGAACAUAACCAGUAGAACAAGGCCAACCCUAAAAUUAGCAGAAUGAUUGCUCAGCAGAGUGUUUGGUUUAGUCUCGAACUCUUGAGAUCAUAACUAGCUGAUACAGUGAUGAGAACCAAGGAACAUAACCAGUAGAACAAGGCCAACCCUAAAAUUAGCAGAAUGAAUGCUCAGCAGAGUGUUUGGUUUAGUCUCGAACUCUUGAGAUCAUGACUAGCUGAUACAGUGAUGAGAACCAAGGAACAUGACCAGUAGAAGGAAUGAUGUACCCGUCUUGGUUGCCUAAAGGUUUUGGCUUUCAGCUUAUUGGCUGCUUAAGUUGAGAUACAAGCAGAGUUGGUUAAUGGUUGGGUAUCCAAGCACAUAUGCUUAUAAGGCUUUUACUAUGAUUAUCAUUAGUACUUGCCCCCCCCCCCCCCCCCAUUCAGCUCUUUAUAUCAUCAUUUGGAAGAUGGAAAUAAUGUACACAAUACACCAAUGACAUGAUACACAAUACACCAUUGGCUUGUAUGGUGGCGCCAUUUUCUUUUACUGUGUACCACAUGAUUCCCUUGAUAAAUAUAUAUAAUAAUAUAUAUAUCCCCCCCUUAAUGACUACCAUUAAACACAAAGCAAAUGCUGUUCUUUUGGGGGAGAAAAAGAAAACCGUAAAAUUGAAUGAAGCCAAGUUGGGGUGGGUUUGGGGAAUUGUAACUGUAGUUGCCUUAAUCUAGUACUUUUUGUACAUAAUGUACAGCUAUCAGUCUGUGAAUGCAAACUGGGUCAGUGGGGAAACAAAUUCAACAAUUUUGUAAAAAAAAAAAAAAAAA